AUACGUAGGGGACGAGCGUUGUCCGGAAUUACUGGGCGUAAAGGGCGCGCAGGCGGAUAUUUAAGUCAGCUGUAAAAGGCAUGAGCUCAACUCAUGUAUGCGGUUGAAACUGGGUAUCUAGAGUGCUGGAGAGGUAGGCGGAAUUCCCGGUGUAGCGGCGAAAUGCGUAGAUAUCGGGAAGAACACCAGUGGCGAAGGCGGCUUACUGGCCAGCAACUGACGCUGAGGCGCGAAAGCCAGGGGAGCGAACGGGAUUAGAUACCCCGGUAGUCCUGGCCGUAAACGAUGAAUGCUAGGUGUGGGUGUCGAGAGGCAUCCGUGCCGGAGUUAACGCGAUAAGCAUUCCGCCUGGGGAGUACGAUCGCAAGAUUGAAACUCAAAGGAAUUGACGGGG
rnacentral:rRNA from 1 species